UAUAUAUGGGUAAAGCCAAAAAGGUGCUCCAAAUUGGUCAAAUAACCAUCUGAAGCUUAAAUCCCAAUUUUAAAAUAUUUAAUAUAUGUUAUUUGAUUACAACUUGUUAUUGAGCAUCAGUGACAUGAUGAAGUAGAAGAUUUGAUAAAUAUCAAAUAUCCGCUAAUUCAAUGUGUCUUGUUAUUGAAGUUUGUCAAACGUAGAUCUGUACGUUCCUGUGUCCCAAGCGUGACAUGGAAAUCCCCUUCUAACAAAAAAUAUACCUGGUUGUUUUUAUGGGCAAAAGAAAAACGGAAAGUAAGUUAAAUCGUCAGAAAAGUGUUGUUGCACUAUAAAUCCGUCAAAGUUUUGCGUGAACUGCAGUAAAAUUAAUCAAAGAAACGAUUAUUUCGACAGGGUUAGUAAUGUUAUAUUGACAAUAGACUACUAUGGUAAAAAUAACGCACGGGGUUUUCCGCGAUAUCGUCAUCUGCGGAACAUUUGAUUGGUUCCUGUCAUAUUCAUGCGCCGUCGUAUCUCGGCUGUUUCAAAUAGUUCUAAUUUUGGUUUCGUAUUCCGUUUUAUGAGAAGCAUAGAAUGGCAAGUUUGUAAUGUCAAAAUAACGUAUAACGUACGUAAAAUGUUAAUUCCUUAUUAUUAACGGAAAGAGUUUAUCCAGGGAGAAAAAAAUACUUUGUUUCAUUUCAAAAUUGCUAUAUAUACGAAACUAAAUGUAAGCAUCACUAUCAUUCAUGGAUGAAAAUGGAAGAAGAACUCGAUGAUCUUUGAGAUAAAUCAACUGAGUAUGAACAGUGGAAUAGACAGCAGAAUGAACUUUAAAAUGUUUUUAAUUUGUUUAAAUAAAUGAUUUAUGGUUUGAUUCUUGAA